rfam:Aedes albopictus isolate Foshan contig21034, whole genome shotgun sequence.
UGCCCAGCAACUCCUAUCCCUACCUCCACGCGGUACCGACCGGAAACUAUGAGCAACCUUAGGGAAGAUCGGGUAACCAACCCCGGUGGGAACUUUGGUCGUAGGCUGACAGGGAAGG